rnacentral:rRNA from 1 species
GCGGAGGGAUCAUUAAAGAGUUCUAUAACUCCCAAACCCAUGUGAACAUACCUAACGUUGCCUCGGCAGGUCGCACCUACCUUGUAGCACCCUACCCUGUAGGGCCUACCCGGGAGGUGCGGGUAAGCCUGCCGGCGGCCCACCAAACUCUGUUUGAUAUUGAAUUCUGAACCUAUAACUAAAUAAGUUAAAACUUUCAACAACGGAUCUCUUGGUUCUGGCAUCGAUGAAGAACGCAGCGAAAUGCGAUAAGUAAUGUGAAUUGCAGAAUUCAGUGAAUCAUCGAAUCUUUGAACGCAUAUUGCGCCCAUUAGUAUUCUAGUGGGCAGGACCGUUCGAGCGUCAUUUCAACCCUUAAGCCUUCGUUGCUUAGUGUUGGGAGCCUACGGCAACGUAGCUCCUCAAAGUUAGUGGCGGAGUUGGUUCACACUCUAGACGUAGUAAUUUUUUAUCUCGCCUAUUAGUUGGACUAAUCCCCUGCCGUAAAACCCCCAAUUUAUCAAGGUUGACCUCGAAUCGGUUCAGACAAACUCGCUAAAUUGAAGCAUCUUAGUCAGCGAAGGAAAAGAAACCAACAGGGAUUGCCCUAGUAACGGCGAGUGAAGC